UGGAAGCUUGUUCCCAAAAGUUAGCGGCGGAGGGGUGAGUAACCCGUGGGCAACCUCCCUGUAAGACGGGGAUAACUUCGGGAAACCGGAGUUAAUACCGGAUAAUUUUUUUUUCCCCAUGUAGAGAAGCUGAAAGAUGGCUUUUGGCUAUCACUUACAGAUGGGCCCGCGGCGCAUUAGCUAGUUGGUGAGGUAACGGCUCACCAAGGCAACGAUGCGUAGCCGACCUGAGAGGGUGAUCGGCCCCCCUGGGACUGAGACACGGCCCAGACUCCUACGGGAGGCAGCAGUAGGGAAUCUUCCGCAAUGGACGAAAGUCUGACGGAGCAACGCCGCGUGAGUGAUGAAGGUUUUCGGAUCGUAAAACUCUGUUGUUAGGGAAGAACAAGUACCGUUCGAAUAGGGCGGUACCUUGACGGUACCUAACCAGAAAACCACGGCUAACUUCGUGCCAGCAGCCGCGGUAAUACGUAGGUGGCAAGCGUUGUCCGGAAUCAUUGGGCGUAAAGCGCGCGCAGGUGGUUCCUUAAGUUUGAUGUGAAAGCCCCCGGCUCAACCGGGGAGGGUCAUUGGAAACUGGGGAACUUGAGUGCAGAAGAGGAAAGUGGAAUUCCACGUGUAGCGGUGAAAUGCGUAGAGAUGUGGAGGAACACCAGUGGCGAAGGAGACUUUUUGGU
rnacentral:rRNA from 1 species